rnacentral:rRNA from 1 species
UACGUAGGGGGCUAGCGUUGUCCGGAAUCAUUGGGCGUAAAGAGCGUGUAGGCGGCCCGGUAAGUCCGCUGUAAAAGUCAAAGGCUCAACCUUUGAAUGUCAGUGGAUACUGCCGGGCUAGAGUCCGGAAGAGGCGAGUGGAAUUCCUGGUGUAGCGGUGGAAUGCGCAGAUAUCAGGAGGAACACCGAUGGCGAAGGCAGGUCUCUGGGCCACUACUGACGCUGAGAAGCGAAAGCAUGGGGAGCGAACAGG